GACGAACGCUGGCGGCGUGCUUAACACAUGCAAGUCGAACGGAAAGGCCCUGCUUUUGUGGGGUGAUCGAGUGGCGAACGGGUGAGUAACACGUGAGUAACCUGCCCUUGACUUUGGGAUAACUUCAGGAAACUGGGGCUAAUACCGGAUAGGAGCUCCUGCUGCAUGGUGGGGGUUGGAAAGUUUCGGCGGUUGGGGAUGGACUCGCGGCUUAUCAGCUUGUUGGUGGGGUAGUGGCUUACCAAGGCUUUGACGGGUAGCCGGCCUGAGAGGGUGACCGGCCACAUUGGGACUGAGAUACGGCCCAGACUCCUACGGGAGGCAGCAGUGGGGAAUAUUGCACAAUGGGCGGAAGCCUGAUGCAGCAACGCCGCGUUCGGGAUGACGGCCUUCGGGUUGUAAACCGCUUUCGCCUGUGACGAAGCGUGAGUGACGGUAAUGGGUAAAGAAGCACCGGCUAACUACGUG
rnacentral:rRNA from 1 species